rnacentral:misc_RNA from 1 species
GAAAUGCGAUAAGUAAUGUGAAUUGCAGAAUUCCGUGAAUCAUCGAAUCUUUGAACGCACAUUGCGCCCUCUGGCAUUCCGGGGGGUAUGCCUGUCCGAGCGUCAUUACGCACCCUCAAGCCCGGCUUGUGUGAUGGGCCCCGGCGUCUCGUUCGCGAGACGGGCCCGAAAGGCAGCGGCGGCGUCGACCCGAUGAGCCCGAGCGUAUGGGGACUUCUGUCACACGUUCGCGGUGCGGACCGGCGCCUGCUUGACUUUUCUGAUUAUCCAGGUUGACCUCGGAUCAAGUAGGGAUACCCGCUGAACUUAAGC